UACAGAGGUGGCAAGCGUUGCUCGGUAUCACUGGGCGUAAAGGGCGUGUAGGCGGAUCGGUAAGUGGGAUGUGAAAUGCCCCGGCUCACCCGGGGACCUGCAUUCCAAACUGCCAGUCUAGAGUAUGGGAGAGGAUGAGGGAAUUCCUGGUGUAGCAGUGAAAUGCGUAGAUAUCAGGAGGAAUACCGAUGGCGAAGGCAGGUCUCUGGGCUGACACUGACGCUCAUGCACGAAAGCGUGGGGAGCAAACAGG
rnacentral:rRNA from 1 species